rnacentral:rRNA from 1 species
GAUGAACGCUGGCGGCGUGCCUAAUACAUGCAAGUCGAGCGAACGGACGAGAAGCUUGCUUCUCUGAUGUUAGCGGCGGACGGGUGGGUAACACGUGGAUAACCUACCUAUAAGACUGGGAUAACUUCGGGAAACCGUAGCUAAUACCGGAUAAUAUUUUGAACCGCAUGGUUCAAAAGUGAAAGACGGUCUUGCUGUCACUUAUAGAUGGAUCCGCGCUGCAUUAGCUAGUUGGUAAGGUAACGGCUUACCAAGGCAACGAUGCAUAGCCGACCUGAGAGGGUGAUCGGCCACACUGGAACUGAGCCACGGUCCCGACUCCUACGGGAGGCAGCAGUAGGGAAUCUUCCGCAAUGGGCCAAAGCCUGACGGAGCAACGCCGCGUGAGUGAUGAAGGUCUUCGGAUCGUAAAACUCUGUUAUUAGGGAAGAACAUAUGUGUAAGUAACUGUGCACAUCUUGACGGUACCUAAUCAGAAAGCCACGGCUAACUACGUG